rnacentral:rRNA from 1 species
GACGAACUGUCCUAACGUUGUUUGGAAUCACUGGGCUUAAAGGGCGCGUAGGCGGUCCGACAAGUCAGGGGUGAAAUCCUGCAGCUUAACUGCAGAAGUGCCUUUGAUACUGUCGGUCUGGAGGGAGAUAGGGGUGUGCGGAACUUCCAGUGGAGCGGUGAAAUGCGUUGAUAUUGGAAGGAACGCCGGAGGCGAAAGCGGCGCACUGGAUCUCUUCUGACGCUGAGGCGCGAAAGCUAGGGGAGCAAACGGG